UGUAGCUCCCUUCUUUGCAGAUGCAUACAUGAGAUAACUUCACUUUCUGAAGAACUGUUUUUUCUGGUUGUUUACCUCUACAAGAAGAAACAAAUAUGGUUAGUAAGUCUAACCCCUUUGGUCACAUUGGAGGCUUGCACAGUUUGAAACUCCUGUUAGCCAGAUUCUCUUAUUUUUUGUAGUAAAUAAGUGCCAUGAUUUAAAAAUGUUCCAAACUUUCUGAAAAUAAUUCAGACCUAUUUAGUGAUUCCCUACCAGUGUAAGUCAAUGGUAAUACUUCUGUUGACUUAAAUGGGGCAGGAUUUCACCCCUUGACUCUGUCCGCUGGUGAUGCCAUAAAGGGAAAACUAUGAAAAAUAUCUAACUUGUUUUAAAAAAUCAGUUUAACCAAAUCUGGGAUCACAAAUACUAAAAUGUUCGUUUAUGACAUUAUUACAGGGCGGCGUUAAGGUUGUUUGGGUACCUUAACUAUAUACAUGUUUUACUUUAACAUGUUUGGAUUUUUUUAAGUGCAACCUAAAUCCUGAAUAUCCUGGUUUCUAAUACUUGAAUAUUAUGCAUAUACUUGGGUUUCAAAUAAUUAUAACAUCUCUAAUAUAUUCUACCCUUAAGUCACAGAUAUAUCACUCCAUUUUAAUGCAGUUUUAUCUGAAAAUGUCCUUAGUUUUUAAAAAUUGUUUAAAAGUUCAUGUAUGAAAACUAAACAAGAAGCCCAAAGACAAUUUGACCAUUUGGUCUUUCUAAUUAUAUAAAGAUAUAUAAUAUCAAACCUCAAUCAUUUUUUGUUAACUUUUAAGGGCAAAUUGUCCAGUAUACCAGAGCAGCAUAAAGCAGCCAGAGGAAGACAAUAUGAGACUGACAGUUCUGAAUGUUGAGAAGAGAAUUUAAUUUCCCUGAUGUAAUCGCACAAGAAAGAUGGAUAUUAGGCUAGAAUGCAGGAUACAUUUCAUACCUUUUUAAUACAUCUGUUUCUUUAAAUUAAAAGCUCUGUUUUUGUUGUUAAAAAGGUCUGACAUACAGAAUCUACAAUAAAGGGGUUUUAAGUUACAAAUGAUAGACUUGAAAACAUUACUGACAAGCUGGAAUUUUAAUACAUACUAGAGAUUUUUCUUGCCCUUUGAAGACAAGAAGAAGCAGUUACAAAAACUGAUGCACUUCUCUGGAGUGUGGGGAUAUGGAAGUUUGCUGAUUAUCAUGAUUGCCAUUCUUGGCCAGAAGAACAGAGAAUUCACCUCUCCCAUGGUAUGCAGGAGCAGUACAAGACCAUUGACAAUGUACAGCUGACAGAUAGUAAUAACAGGUCAGGUAUGUACUAUUCUUUGUUCCUACAAUUGUUGUCAUAAGAAAUUAUACAUAUUGUUGCAUUUUCAAUUCUUGUACAGAGUUUGUCACUACAAGGAAGCAUCUGAAUUUUAAUAUCAGUGCUUUGGAUGGCCCUAUUCUCCUCUGUUGACAGCACCAGUAGUAACUCAUGUGAAAGUGGAAAUGACUAGUAUUCAAAAUAGAGAAUAAAAAAGUUCAGUGUAGGACCAC